rnacentral:rRNA from 1 species
CUACAAGGGUUUCUAAUCCUGUUUGCUCCCCACGCUUUCGCACCUCAGCGUCAGUUGUGGUCCAGUGAGCCGCCUUCGCCACUGGUGUUCCUGCGAAUAUCUACGAAUUUCACCUCUACACUCGCAAUUCCACUCACCUCUACCACACUCAAGAUUUCCGGUAUCAGAGGCCGUUCCGGGGUUGAGCCCCGGGAUUUCACCCCUGACUUAAAAAUCCGCCUACGUGCGCUUUACGCCCAGUAAUUCCGAACAACGCUAGCCCCCUUCGUAUUACCGCGGCUGCUGGCAC